rnacentral:rRNA from 1 species
CGGAGGGUAGCGGCGGACGGGUGAGUAACGCGUGGGAACGUGCCCUGGGGUAAGGAACAACCGCUGGAAACGGCGGCUAAUACCUUAUGAUGUCCAUUGUAGAGAUAUGGUGGACCAAAGAUUUAUCGCCCUUGGAUCGGCCCGCGUUGGAUUAGGUAGUUGGUGGGGUAAUGGCCUACCAAGCCGACGAUCCAUAGCUGGUUUGAGAGGAUGACCAGCCACACUGGGACUGAGACACGGCCCAG